ACUCCUACGGGAGGCAGCAGUGAGGAAUAUUGCACAAUGGGCGAAAGCCUGAUGCAGCAACGCCGCGUGAGGGACGAAGGCCUCCGGGUCGUAAACCUCUUUUCUGGGGGAAGAGACAAGGACGGUACCUCAGGAAUAAGUCUCGGCUAACUACGUGCCAGCAGCCGCGGUAAAACGUAGGAGGCGAGCGUUAUCCGGAUUUACUGGGCGUAAAGCGCACGCAGGCGGCUCCGUUAGUCGGAUGUGAAAGCUCCUGGCUUAACUAGGAGAGGCCAUUCGAUACUGCGGGGCUUGAGGUUGGGAGAGGGGUGUGGAAUUCCCGGUGUAGUGGUGGAAUGCGUAGAUAUCGGGAGGAACACCAGUGGCGAAGGCGGCACCCUGGCCCACACCUGACGCUGAGGUGCGAAAGCGUGGGUAGCAAACAGGAUUAGAUACCCUGGUAGUCCACGCUGUAAACUAUGUUAACUAGGUGUUGGUAGUGCUACACUAUCAGUGCCGAAGCAAACGCGUUAAGUUGACCGCCUGGGGACUACGGCCGCAAGGCUAAAACUCAAAUGAAUUGACGG
rnacentral:rRNA from 1 species